rnacentral:rRNA from 1 species
AGUUAUCUGAACCUUCGGGGAACGAUAACGGCGUCGAGCGGCGGACGGGUGAGUAAUGCCUAGGAAAUUGCCCUGAUGUGGGGGAUAACCAUUGGAAACGAUGGCUAAUACCGCAUGAUGCCUACGGGCCAAAGAGGGGGACCUUCGGGCCUCUCGCGUCAGGAUAUGCCUAGGUGGGAUUAGCUAGUUGGUGAGGUAAGGGCUCACCAAGGCGACGAUCCCUAGCUGGUCUGAGAGGAUGAUCAGCCACACUGGAACUGAGACACGGUCCAGACUCCUACGGGAGGCAGCAGUGGGGAAUAUUGCACAAUGGGCGCAAGCCUGAUGCAGCCAUGCCGCGUGUGUGAAGAAGGCCUUCGGGUUGUAAAGCACUUUCAGUCGUGAGGAAGGUAGUGUAGUUAAUAGCUGCAUUAUUUGACGUUAGCGACAGAAGAAGCACCGGCUAACUCCGUGCCAGCAGCCGCGGUAAUACGGAGGGUGCGAGCGUUAAUCGGAAUUACUGGGCGUAAAGCGCAUGCAGGUGGUUUGUUAAGUCAGAUGUGAAAGCCCGGGGCUCAACCUCGGAAUAGCAUUUGAAACUGGCAGACUAGAGUACUGUAGAGGGGGGUAGAAUUUCAG